ACGGAGUUUGUCUGGUGGUGGAAGGAGGGGGUGGCUGCGCCCGCCAUGCUGGGGCUCGUGUUUUUCUCUUCCGCUUCAGGCUUUGGUGAAAUGGGCUGAGGAAGGGGGAAUUGAACUGAGAGACUCCUUGUCCGUCCCCCAUUUCUUUCUUUUUUUUUUUUUUUUGAGAUGGAGUCUCGCUCUGUCGCCCAGGCUGGAGUGCAGUGGGACAAUUUUAGCUCACUGCAACCUCCGCCUCCCGGGUUCAAGCAAUUCUCCUGCCUCAGCCUCCCGAGUAGCUGGGAUUACAUGCGCCCGCCACCACACCUGGCUAAUUUUUGUAUUUUUAGUAGAGACGGGGUUUCACCACGUUGGCCAGGCCGGUACCGAACUCCCAACCUCAGGCGAUCCACCCGCCUCGGCCUCCCAAAGUGCUGGGAUUACAGGCGUGAGACACAGCGCCUGGCCUGUCCUUUUUAUGUAUUGCCAUAUUUUCUUUUCUUUUCUUUUCUGUGAGAUCCCUGUUGAGUUUUGUUAACAAGGCUAUGCUGAUAUAAUGUGUGGAGAAGUGUUCUCUCUUUUUCUAUUCUUUGAAAGUGCUAGUGUAGGAUUGAUGUUAUUUAUUUUUUAUGUGUUUGGAAGAAGUCACCAGCCAUCUGGACCUAGAGUUUUCUUUGUGGAAAGACUUUAAAUUACAAAUUCUAUUUCUUUUAUAAAAAUACAACUAUUCAGAUGUUCUAUUUUAUUUCUGGGUCUCACUCUGUUACGCAGGCUGGAGUACAGUGGCACAUUCUUGACUGACUGCAACCUCCACCUCCCAGGCUCAAGCGAUCCUCCCACCUUGGAUCUGUGCUGGGAGAGUACUUGUUGGCAUAUGCUGAUGGUCAUCUGCAUGAUUGGACUCUUCCAUAUCUGCUCCAGAAGCUUGAGUGUCUCCACUACAGGAAGAGUCUUUGUCAUUACUGGUUUUAGAAAAGCUGUCCUCAGAGCCACCAUUUUUCUUGAUGCCUUUCACGGUGACAACGGCCAGCACUUGCCCUGAGGACAUCUCUUCAGGAAGCUCUGCUACAAGAAUGGCGAAGCAAUCUUUUUUCUUGGCAUCUCAUUUUGCCCUGUGAAGAGAUAGGGCUGCUUCUGGGGACUUUUCACUGAUCACCAUCCCCGCCAGGUCAUCCUUGAAAUCAUUUACCUGGACUCCCUAGGGUGCCUUCACAUUACAUGGGGCCUCCUUUUCCUUGAUGUUGUUGGCAAAUUCUUUCACUGGAUUAUCUAUGGGAACUUUUUCCUUGGCACAUUUGUCGGCAUUCAGAUCCAGUGGAGCAUCCUCAUGUGAGCUUUCGUUGGUGAGGUCUUCCACCAGGGUAUCCUCCAUGGGAACUUUUUCCUUGGCUCAUUUGUCAGCCUUUAAAUUUAGCAAAACAUCCCCAUCUGAGCUUUUGUUGGCAAGGUCUUCCACCAGGGUAUCCUCCGUGGGAACUUUUCCUUGGUGAAUUCAUCAGCCUUCAAUCCAGUAGAGCGUCCUCAUCUGAGCUUUCAUUGGCAAGGUCUUUCACCAGGGUAUCCUCUGUGGGAACUUUUUCUUUCAUGCGUUUGUCAACCUUCAAGUCCAGUGAGGCAUCCUUAUCUGAGCUUUCGUUUCCAAGGUCUUCCACCAGGGUAUCCUCCAUGGGAACUUUUUCCUUGGCACGUUCUUUGGCCUUCAAAUCCAGUGGGGUGUCCUAAUCUGAAAUUUCAUUGGCGAGGUCUUCCAGAGGAUCCUCCAUGGCACCUUUUUCCUUGGCACAUUCAUUGGCCUUCCAAAGCCAUGGGGCAUUUUCAUCUGAGCUUUCACUGGCUUGGUAUCCUUCCAGGAUAUCUUCCAUGUGAACACUUGCCUGAGUUGCUGAGUCUGUCAAGUGAACAGCAAGAACCUGUUCAGAGGAAGUGUCGCUGGUCUGCUCCCCUGCCAGGUUGUCCUUGAAAUCUUCAGAUGGCUACCUGCCAGGGUGCACAUGAGGAUGACACCUGCGGUGGCACAUUCUCUCUCUAAAACUGCGCUGGCAGACCAUGGAUUCGCCAUGGACAGUGGAGUCUCCUGAAACCUGAGUAUCCACUGCUGCAUCUUGGAGGCAAUACUCUAGCCUUCACGAGCACCCUUCUACUCCAGUCAGGCUGAAGUCUCCCUCGCUGUCACCGCCACAACUGUAGGAGGUGAGCCACAGAGCCGUGCCAUCUGCAAGCUCCAAACUCCACCUCACCACAGGUGACUCCUCCUUCACUUUCUCCUCCAGCCUUUCUCAGAGUGGCUGGGCGGGCAAAGCCAGAAAAGCCACUCUGGCCACACUGCAGCCUCUGUUGCCACCACCAACUGCAGUGAGGCAAGCCAUGGUGCCACAGGCUCCAACCUCCAGCAUGUGGCAGGUGAUUCCCCUUCCCCUUCUCCUGGUUCUCUAAGCCAGGAACAGAGUAGCUCGGUGGGCAGAUACAGAAGAGCCUAAAAUCUGUUGUACUAUUUUAAGAAAAACUUCUCUUGCCUGUAAUCCCAGCACUUUGGGAGGCCGAGGUGGGUGGAUCACCCAAAGUCAGGAAUUCAAGACCAGCCUGGCCAACAUAGCAAAACCUCAUCGCUACUAAAAAUACAAAAAACAAAAAACAAACAAAAAAAAAUUAGCUGGAUAUUGUAGUGCGUGCCUGUUAUCCCUGCUCUUUGGGAGGCUGAGGCAGGAGAAUCACUUGAACCUGUGUUAGAAUCAAAAUGCUUGUUUCUUGGUGUCGCAAGGAAAAAUUAGCAUUCAGACAAAAAGUUUUCUCAGCAAGGCAAUUUUACUUUCUGUAGAAAGGGUGCUGCCCAUCAGCAAUCCUGCCAGGAGAGCACAAUGAACAAAGAAAGGCAGGAAUAUUUAUCCCUUAUGCAUUGGGUCCUUACUGCUGUGUCCUGUCUCCAUUGGUUGGAGCUGGACCUCACAGUCUAAGCUAAACCCAAUUGGCUAACAACUUAAAAAACUUUCUUAAAUAGGUAAAGGCAAUGGAGAACAAAGGAAAAGAGGAAGUUGCUUGCCAAAAGACUUGGAGAAGUAAUAACAUUUCCAAAUAAGGAAAGGGCAUAAGCUGUGAGCUGGGACAUGCUUGAGCACGUCGAGACCAAAUAUCUUGGUUAACGUACAAGGACACAGAAGGUACUUAUUUCCUUAUAUCUAACAACUACAUAAGAUAUGGUUUAAAAAAGAGUUACUAACACAAAGCAAAGAGGCUUAAAAAAAGUUAAUUAAAAAUAUUAUUUCUAACACUUGUGAUUUAUUAUUUAAUAAAAACUUUAAAGAGAAACUUUUUUACUUUCCACAACCUAGAAGGUGGAGGUUGCUGUGAGCCAAGAUGGCACCACUACACUCCAGUCUGGGUGACAGAGGGAGACUCCAUUUCCAAAAUAAU
ensembl:lncRNA novel transcript, antisense to DKKL1